rnacentral:rRNA from 1 species
ACUCAAAGGAAUUGACGGGGGCCCGCACAAGCGGAGGAGCAUGUGGUUUAAUUCGAUGAUACGCGAGGAACCUUACCUAGACUUGAACGUAACAGUAAUAAUGUAGAAAUAUAUUAGCUAGCAAUAGACUGUUACGAGGUGCUGCAUGGUUGUCGUCAGCUCGUGCCGUGAGGUGUCAGGUUAAGUCCUAUAACGAGCGCAACCCUUACACUUAGUUGCCAGCAUGUUAUGGUGGGGACUCUAAGUGGACUGCCUGCGUAAGCAGAGAGGAAGGUGGGGAUGACGUCAAAUCAGCACGGCCCUUACGUCUAGGGCGACACACGUGCUACAAUGGUAGGUACAGAGGGCAGCUACACAGCGAUGUGAUGCCAAUCUCAAAAGCCUAUCUCAGUUCGGAUCGGAGUCUGCAACCCGACUCCGUGAAGUUGGAUUCGCUAGUAAUCGCAGAUCAGCCAUGCUGCGGUGAAUACGUUCCCGGGCCUUGUACACACCGCCCGU